ensembl:lncRNA
GAGAGAGAGAGAGAGAGAGAGAGAGGUGGCGCCCGACACACCGUGCUGCCUCCCGGGGGAUGCGGCCACGACUCGGUACAGUAGUUGGGCUUUCAUUGGCUUGUGUUCCCAACUCGUGUGACGCUCGAUCCUGACCCGGCGACAUGCGUGGCGAAGGCGAACUGUGACACAGCGGCUUGCAGAUUAAACGCGGAGUAGCCGACGUAACAGCGCACCUUGUCCAGCGGAGAACCAUGAGCACUUUGGAGGAGCAGACGGACCACAUGAUACCAUGAAGUCAAGCCUGCAGGCCCUGAGCUCCUCGCUGCUGACCACCUGCCUGCACACGGAUGAAUCCUGGGCCAGCUGAGGGAUCAGAAUAAAACGGAUGAAAGGAGACAGGCCCCGUCUGCGUCUUACAGCAGCCUGUGUUUUCUUGCGUGGAACUCUCAAUGACCGCACACACCUGCUCUACGCGUGCCUCCCCCUCUCCCAUUGUUCCCCCCUCUC